rnacentral:rRNA from 1 species
GACGAACGCUGGCGGCGUGCCUAAUACAUGCAAGUCGAGCGCAGGAAAUCGACGGAACCCUUCGGGGGGAAGUCGAUGGAAUGAGCGGCGGACGGGUGAGUAACACGUAAAGAACCUGCCCUCAGGUCUGGGAUAACCACGAGAAAUCGGGGCUAAUACCGGAUGGGUCAUCGGACCGCAUGGUCCGAGGAUGAAAGGCGCUUCGGCGUCGCCUGGGGAUGGCUUUGCGGUGCAUUAGCUAGUUGGUGGGGUAAUGGCCCACCAAGGCGACGAUGCAUAGCCGACGUGGGAGGGUGAUCGGCCACACUGGGACUGAGACACGGCCCAGACUCCUACGGGAGGCAGCAGUAGGGAAUCUUCCACAAUGGACGAAAGUCUGAUGGAGCAACGCCGCGUGAACGAUGAAGGCCUUCGGGUCGUAAAGUUCUGUUGUAAGGGAAGAACAAGUGCCGCAGGCAAUGGCGGCACCUUGACGGUACCUUGCGAGAAAGCCACGGCUAACUACGUGCCAGCCGCCGCCGUAA